UAGGAAUCUCGGCGCAAGCCAUCAUGCACCUAGUUAUACUAGGGCAGCCAAGCUCAUCCACGUCUGGAUAUUCGGAGUGUUGAGUUUAUCCUCUCGCUUUGGAGAGCACAGUUGGUCCCUCGGGGGGUGCAAUCUUCUUUUGAAGUGUAGAAAGAAAUAAGUUGUUGUAGACAUAUAAUAAAGCCAAGUUACAAAUUACUUCUGAAUUCUUUAUUGAAAAAUAAAAUGAGCAAAUAACUUGAUUGCAAAAAACUGCAUGAUGAUUGGAUAGUCCUCGGUUUACGAGGUGGUGCCCGUUGAGCUGCUCGAGUCUUCGGGUCUUGAUAUAGUGUGAAGUCACACAUGGUAUUUCCUCAAAUUGUAGGCAUUCCAUUGCUUCUCGAUCUCUUUAUCAUUCAUGGUAGCAAGAGUAUAACUACCCUUGCCGCCUACUCGACUGAUCUUGUAAGGACCCUUCCAGAUGGGGUCCAUUUUUUUCGAGCCUUCUCUGCGGGCAGUGAUGAAGGUCUUUCUUAGGACUAGGUCUCCGGGUUGGAAUUGCCGGAUCUUGGCCCUUUUAUUGUAGCUGGAAAUGAGCUGUU
rnacentral:lncRNA from 1 species